rnacentral:lncRNA from 7 species
CAAAAGUAGAGAACGCCAACGCAGGGGGCGUCAACAACAAGCCGGUGUUGCGCUGCCAGAACUAGGGGUUCCCGAAUUGGGUGAAGAUAUCUCAGGGUAGAUCGAACCUGUUUCGUCAGACUUGGAGCAUGCUAAGUUCUUACCGCUUAGAGAUCGCGUGUGGUUGAUGCUUCAGAUUUGGCAGGCGCGCAGAUCAGGCUGUUGAAACGAUCGAGGGCAGACUAGUAGACCUGAUGUGUUUGACCUGCUCCAGUUGCUAUUUGCUUACCCCAAAAAAAACAAUAGUUUAGUUUCAGUUUAGUUGAUUUAGGUAUAUCGCUGAAUUUUAUUUUCAUUUUGGUUACAGUUCCAUGAUGGUUAAGUGUUGUCUUCGAACCUC